GGUUGGUCUGAUGAUUACGGAUUAUCAGAACUUAUUAACAUUAGUGUCACUAAAGUUGGUAUACAACCCCACAGCUAGAUUUUACUGACUUAAA
rnacentral:sRNA from 1 species